GCCUUCCAGAAAAUACAACUAAUUUAAUGAUGCGAUUUGUUAUUCCAUUACCUGACGCUUGUAGAUUUUUUCUUCCAUAGUUCCAUGUGCCAUCAAUCUGUAAGCAAACACUGGUUUUUUCUGGCCAUACCUCCAAGCUCUAUAAAUGGCCUGAAGAUCAUAUGUUGGAUUCCAAGAACCAUCAACAAUAACUACACGGUUC
rnacentral:misc_RNA from 1 species